UACGUAGGCAGCAAGCGUUGUUCGGAGUUACUGGGCGUAAAGGGUGCGUAGGCGGCUUCUUAAGUCUGGUGUGAAAUCUCCCGGCUCAACUGGGAGGGUGCGCCGGAUACUGAGGGGCUAGAGUGUGGGAGAGGAAAGUGGAAUUCCUGGUGUAGCGGUGAAAUGCGUAGAUAUCGGAAGGAACACCAGUGGCGAAAGCGGCUUCCUGGUCCAGCACCGACGUUCAGGCACGAAAGCGUGGGGAGCAAACAGG
rnacentral:rRNA from 1 species